rnacentral:rRNA from 1 species
UCUGGCUCAGGAUGAACGCUAGCGGCAGGCUUAACACAUGCAAGUCGAGGGGCAUCGGGAGUAGCAAUACUGCCGGCGACCGGCGCAAGGGUGCGUAACGCGUGAGCAACAUGCCCGUAUCAGGGGGAUAAUCCAUGGAAACGUGGUCUAAUACCCCAUAGUAAUUAUGUAAGGCAUCUUAUAUAAUUUAAAGCUUUGGUGGAUACGGAUUGGCUCGCGUGACAUUAGCUGGAUGGUAAGGUAACGGCUUACCAUGGCUACGAUGUCUAGGGGUUCUGAGAGGAAGGUCCCCCACACUGGAACUGAGACACGGUCCAGACUCCUACGGGAGGCAGCAGUGAGGAAUAUUGGACAAUGGAUGGAAAUCUGAUCCAGCCAUGCCGCGUGCAGGAAGACGGCCCUAUGGGUUGUAAACUGCUUUUGUAUGGGAGCAAUAAGGGCUACGUGUAGUCCGAUGAGAGUACCAUACGAAUAAGCACCGGCUAACUCCGUGCCAGCCGCCGC